GAUGAACGCUGGCGGCGUGCCUAAUACAUGCAAGUCGAGCGAACAGAUAAGGAGCUUGCUCCUUUGACGUUAGCGGCGGACGGGUGAGUAACACGUGGGUAACCUACCUAUAAGACUGGGAUAACUUCGGGAAACCGGAGCUAAUACCGGAUAAUAUUUCGAACCGCAUGGUUCGAUAGUGAAAGAUGGUUUUGCUAUCACUUAUAGAUGGACCCGCGCCGUAUUAGCUAGUUGGUAAGGUAACGGCUUACCAAGGCGACGAUACGUAGCCGACCUGAGAGGGUGAUCGGCCACACUGGAACUUAGACACGGUCCAGACUCCUACGGGAGGCAGCAGUAGGGAAUCUUCCGCAAUGGGCGAAAGCCUGACGGAGCAACGCCGCGUGAGUGAUGAAGGUCUUCGGAUCGUAAAACUCUGUUAUUAGGGAAGAACAUACGUGUAAGUAACUGUGCACGUCUUGACGGUACCUAAUCAGAAAGCCACGGCUAACUACGUG
rnacentral:rRNA from 1 species